AGGUGGGUGAUGAUGGCUUUAUAGCCUGCCACUAGAUGCAACUUAAUUGUUCCUUGCCACUCACUGAUAGGGUGUUGAUAUGAGUCUGCAGGCAAUUGGUUGAUUAUGGUCUCUGUGCAGUCAAACCUCUCUGCUCACGGUCAUCUG